rnacentral:snRNA from 1 species
GUGCCUGUUUCGGCAGCACAUACACUAAAAUAGGAACGACACAUAGAAGAUUAGCAUUGUCCCUGAGCAAGGAUGACACGAAAAUUCGUGAAGCGUUCCAUGAAAUA